GACGAACGCUGGCGGCGUGCCUAAUACAUGCAAGUCGAACGCUUCUUUCCUCCCGAGUGCUUGCACUCAAUUGGAAAGCGGAGUGGCGGACGGGUGAGUAACACGUGGGUAACCUACCCAUCAGAGGGGGAUAACACUUGGAAACAGGUGCUAAUACCGCAUAACAGUUUAUGCCGCAUGGCAUAAGAGUGAAAGGCGCUUUCGGGUGUCGCUGAUGGAUGGACCCGCGGUGCAUUAGCUAGUUGGUGAGGUAACGGCUCACCAAGGCCACGAUGCAUAGCCGACGUGAGAGGGUGAUCGGCCACACUGGGACUGAGACACGGCCCAGACUCCUACGGGAGGCAGCAGUAGGGAAUCUUCGGCAAUGGACGAAAGUCUGACCGAGCAACGCCGCGUGAGUGAAGAAGGUUUUCGGAUCGUAAAACUCUGUUGUUAGAGAAGAACAAGGACGUUAGUAACUGAACGUCCCCUGACGGUAUCUAACCAGAAAGCCACGGCUAACUACGUG
rnacentral:rRNA from 1 species